GCACAAUUUUGGGAUCAUCAGUGGGAGGGUCGUCGUUCUUGAUGAAACUUGCUUCAGUCUCGUUCUCAUAUACCUCGGGUGUGGCAGAAGAGUCAUCAGUAUUGGUUUCUGAUGCAUCUGUGGAUUUUGAAGCUCUGAGGUGGUGUUAUUAUACCCUCUUUGGGGUAUUCUCUGAGACUUUCAUUGUUAUCAGCCAUCCCUGAUCUCUGAUAAACCUGUUCAAAAGUAUUUUGAGAACAAGCAGAGCCUCAUGAAAUAAUGGUUCGAUGCUGUGACUUCCUGAACAGAUCCGGAGUCCUGAUCUUGAAGGUUCUUCAAUCUUUUCUUUCUGGGAAAAUUGUUCAAGUUGGCCAGAGGUUUUCUCCCCUAUUGUACAGGUAAUGCUUUCAAAGUUUUGUCUAGAAGGAUGUGCUUUGUCUUCAGCAACUUUCAUGGAAUAUGCAUAUUCGUCUUGAUCUUCAAUUGAAGCUUCUUUUGGGGUUGGGUUGCAUUUUUCUCUGAACAAAAUUUGCUCUUCUCUCUUUGAUGAUAUAUCAACAAUUUCAGGAUUUUCCAGAGUCUCGUUUGACUCACAAAGAAUGGUCUCAUCUCUUUUUCCUUGCUGCAGUGGAUUUCAAGCUUGAAUGUUGAACAAACUUUAAAAAUUUAUGAACAAAUUAACAGCGUUUAGAGUUCAAGAUACUGACCUGAAUGAACUCAGAAGGGAGGCCAGAGACAGAACUUUUCCUUUCAAUAUUUCUUCUUUUGUCUUCUCUUAAAAUUUGAAUUUUCAUUUCAUCACCUUGGAAGCUUUUCAUUGUUUCUUCAGCAGAUUCUUCUAUGACAUGUUUCUCAUUAAUAUCCUGUCUGCCCUUAGUUUCAGGUAGAUCAAUUGCCUGCUUCCAUACGUGAAAUUUCAGAAUCAGGAAAAAAACAUUUAUGGAGAAAGUGAAUGUAUGAUUUUGUGCGUUUUAAUACAAAAACAAGUGUGUGAUUGUGAAAAUGCUUGCAGCUCUCAUUCUUCUCUAUCAUUGCUUCACCACCCUUAGGACUUUCAUCCUGAAAGGUGUGCUCAAUCUGUUCUUCUCCAACAGGUGCCAUUCUUGGUGAUGUUGAUAGGGCUUCUUCCUCAGAUACGCCUGCCAUUGUCCAUGUAUGCUGAAUCUUCUGCACUGGCCAUCCUGUCAACUGGAGGUACAUGUUCCUCUGGCCACACUGAUUCACAGGUGUCUUCGUUUUUAUCUUUGCAGGCUGUAUAGGAAACCUCUUGUAGAGUUUC